AUUGAACGCUGGCGGCAGGCCUAACACAUGCAAGUCGAGCGGAUGAAGGGAGCUUGCUCCUGGAUUCAGCGGCGGACGGGUGAGUAAUGCCUAGGAAUCUGCCUGGUAGUGGGGGAUAACGUCCGGAAACGGGCGCUAAUACCGCAUACGUCCUGAGGGAGAAAGUGGGGGAUCUUCGGACCUCACGCUAUCAGAUGAGCCUAGGUCGGAUUAGCUAGGUGGUGGGGUAAAGGCCUACCAAGGCGACGAUCCGUAACUGGUCUGAGAGGGUGAGCAGUCACACUGGAAAUGAGAAACGGGCCCGACUCCUAAGGGAGGCAGAAGUGGGGAAAUUUUGGCAAAGGGCGAAAGGCCGACGGAGCCACGCCGGGUGGGUGAUGAAGGGCUUUGGAUUGGAAAACCCUUUUAAUAGGGAAGAAAAGAUGUGAAAUUAAAUCUUUACUUUUUGAAGGUAACCAACAAGAAAGCCACGGCUAACUUCGUG
rnacentral:rRNA from 1 species